rnacentral:misc_RNA from 1 species
GAUGAAGAACGUAGCGAAAUGCGAUAAGUAAUGUGAAUUGCAGAAUUCAGUGAAUCAUCGAAUCUUUGAACGCACCUUGCGCCCUUUGGCCAUUCCGAAGGGCAUGCCUGUUUGAGUAUCAUGAACACCUCAACUCUUUAUGGUUUUCCAUGAUGAACUUGGACUCUGGGGGUUUUGCUGGCUCACAGUCGGCUCCUCUAAAAUGAAUCAGCUUACCAGUGUUUGGUGGGUAUCAUGGGUGUGAUAACUAUCUACGCUUGUGGUUUUUCCACCAGGUAACCUUCAGCAGUGGAGGUUCGCUGGAGCUCAUAGAUGUCUCUCCUCAGUGAGGACAGCCCUUUGAAUGUUUGAUCUCAAAUCAGGUAGGACUACCCGCUGAACUUAAGCAUAUCAAUAAGCGGAGGA